CCUACGGGCGGCAGCAGUGGGGAAUAUUGGACAAUGGGGGCAACCCUGAUCCAGCCAUGCCGCGUGUGUGAAGAAGGCCCUCGGGUUGUAAAGCACUUUCAGUGAGGAAGAACGCCUGGUGGUUAAUACCCAUCAGGAAAGACAUCACUCACAGAAGAAGCACCGGCUAACUCCGUGCCAGCAGCCGCGGUAAUACGGAGGGUGCGAGCGUUAAUCGGAAUUACUGGGCGUAAAGCGCGCGUAGGUGGCUUGAUAAGCCGGUUGUGAAAGCCCCGGGCUCAACCUGGGAACGGCAUCCGGAACUGUCAAGCUAGAGUGCAGGAGAGGAAGGUAGAAUUCCCGGUGUAGCGGUGAAAUGCGUAGAGAUCGGGAGGAAUACCAGUGGCGAAGGCGGCCUUCUGGACUGACACUGACGCUGAGGUGCGAAAGCGUGGGUAGCAAACAGGAUUAGAUACCCUUGUAGUC
rnacentral:rRNA from 1 species